AGUGAACGCUGGCGGUAGGCCUAACACAUGCAAGUCGAACGGCAGCACAGGAGAGCUUGCUCUCUGGGUGGCGAGUGGCGGACGGGUGAGGAAUACAUCGGAAUCUACUCUGUCGUGGGGGAUAACGUAGGGAAACUUACGCUAAUACCGCAUACGACCUACGGGUGAAAGCAGGGGAUCUUCGGACCUUGCGCGAUUGAAUGAGCCGAUGUCGGAUUAGCUAGUUGGCGGGGUAAAGGCCCACCAAGGCGACGAUCCGUAGCUGGUCUGAGAGGAUGAUCAGCCACACUGGACCUGAGACACGGUCCAGACUCCUACGGGAGUCAGCAGUGGGGAAUAUUGGACAAUGGGCGCAAGCCUGAUCCAGCCAUACCGCGUGGGUGAAGAAGGCCUUCGGGUUGUAAAGCCCUUUUGUUGGGAAAGAAAUCCAGCUGGCUAAUACCCGGUUGGGAUGACGGUACCCAAAGAAUAAGCACCGGCUAACUUCGUGCCAGCAGCCGCAGUAA
rnacentral:rRNA from 1 species